AUACGGAGGGUGCAAGCGUUGUUCGGAAUUAUUGGGCGUAAAGAGCAUGUAGGCGGACUGUUAAGUCUGGUGUGAAAGCCCGGGGCUCAACCCCGGGAGUGCAUUGGAUACUGGCAGUCUUGAGUAUGGGAGAGGAAAGUGGAAUUCCGAGUGUAGGAGUGAAAUCCGUAGAUAUUCGGAGGAACACCAGUGGCGAAGGCGGCUUUCUGGACCCAUACUGACGCUGAGAUGCGAAAGCGUGGGGAGCGAACAGGAUUAGAAACCCUAGUAGUCC
rnacentral:rRNA from 1 species